GUUUAUCGCCAUGCCACCCUGAACAAGCCUGAUCCUGUCUAAUCUCAGAAGCUAAGUAGGGUCGGGCCUGGUUAACACUUGGAUGGGAGACCACCUAGGAAGACGUGGUGCUAUAGGCA
rnacentral:rRNA from 1 species